UACGAAGGGGGCUAGCGUUGCUCGGAAUCACUGGGCGUAAAGGGUGCGUAGGCGGGUCUUUAAGUCAGGGGUGAAAUCCUGGAGCUCAACUCCAGAACUGCCUUUGAUACUGAGGAUCUUGAGUCCGGGAGAGGUGAGUGGAACUGCGAGUGUAGGGGUGAAAUUCGUAGAUAUUCGCAAGAACACCAGUGGCGAAGGCGGCUCACUGGCCCGGUACUGACGCUGAGGCACGAAAGCGUGGGGAGCAAACAGG
rnacentral:rRNA from 1 species